CCGGUGUUAGCAGGCCCUGCCUGCCAGUGACACACUGUUUAACGGCCGCGGUAUCCUGACGUGCAAGGUAGCAUAAUCACUUGUUCCUUAAAUAAGGACCUGUAUGAAUGGCUCCACGAGGGUUCUACUGUCUCUUACUUUUAACCAGUGAAAUUGACCUGCCCGUGAAGAGGCGGGAAUGACCCAAUAAGACGAGAAGACCCUAUGGAGCUUUAAUUUAUUAAUGCAAACAGAACCUAAUUAACCCUCAGGGCCUAAACUACCUCACCUGGAUUAAAAAUUUUCGUUGGGGCGACCUCCGAACAAAACCCAACCUCCCAAGAGAUCAUGGUAACACUUCCCCAAAGUCAAAUAACUAUAAUGCUCAUUUGAUCCAAUACUUUGUCCAACGGACCAGGUUCCCCUAGGAAUACCGACCCAUUCUUAUUCUAAAUUCCAUAUCAACAUUAGGGUUAACAACCUCGAGGUUGAAUCAGGCCUUCCCAAUGGGGCACCCGUUAUUAAAGGUUCUUUGGUUCAACAAUUAAAGUCUUACUGGACUUGAGUUCAAACGGGAA
rnacentral:rRNA from 1 species